ensembl:lncRNA
GUCUAGUCAAGGCUAUGGUUUUUCCAGUGGUCAUGUGUGGAUGUGAGAGUUGGACUGUGAAGAAAGCUGAACGCCGAAGAAUUGAUGCUUUUGAACUGUGGUGUUGGAGAAGACUCUUGAGAGUCCCUUGGACUGCAAGAAGAUCCAACCAGUCCAUUCUAAAGGAGAUCAGCCCUGGGUGUUCAUUGGAAGGAAUGAUGCUAAAGCUGAAACUCCAGUACUUUGGCCACCUCAUGUGAAGAGUUGACUCAUUGGAAAAGACUCUGAUGCUGGGAGGGAUUGGGGGCAGGAGGAGAAGGAGAUGACAGAGGAUGAGAUGGCUGGAUGGCAUCACUGACUCAAUGGACGUGAGUCUCAGUGAACUCUGGGAGAUGGUGAUGGACAGGGAGACCUGGCAUGCUGCGAUUCAUGGGAUCGCAAAGAGUCAGACACAACUGAAUGACUGAACUGAACUGAACUGGACUGAAUGCUCUUCAUGGUGACUUUGUGAGGCAGGCAUUUUGAUAUCAUCAUUCUCAGAAGAGGAACUGGAAAGAAAUGACUUCCUUACAGUCAGUCCCACAGUUGCUAUAUGAGGGAAUACCAUGGGGAGCAUCGUUUUCUGUUUGCAUUACUGUUGGAUCCCAAGUGUCAUGGACCGUGCCCGAUAUAUAGCAGAUACUCAAUAACAGUUUUGUCGAACACUUAAAUGAUAA